UACGAAGGGUGCUAGCGUUGUUCGGAAUUACUGGGCGUAAAGCGCGCGUAGGCGGUCUAUCAAGUCAGAGGUGAAAGCCCUGGGCUCAACCCAGGAACUGCCUUUGAAACUGAUAGACUAGAGUGUUGGAGGGGAUAGCGGAAUUCCUAAUGUAGAGGUGAAAUUCGUAGAUAUUAGGAGGAACACCGGUGGCGAAGGCGGCUAUCUGGACAACAACUGACGCUGAGGCGCGAAAGCGUGGGGAUCAAACAGG
rnacentral:rRNA from 1 species